rfam:Picea glauca, whole genome shotgun sequence.
UUAACGGUGUCAUUAGACACCACCUUUCAUCUUUGAAAUUCAUUAU